UUCAGUCUUUCCCUCCCUGUUGCUCUGCUGAUGACGGGGCAGUAAUGUCUUCAUCCGAUCAGAAAAAUGCUAUAACGUGAAUAAUUGGUUAAUUUGUCGCAGUAACUCCUAAGCAGUAUGUUUUGUUAAUCACUGGCCUCUUUUAUGAGAGCCCGGGUAAAUGGUUGCUCCUCGGAAGGGAAAAAGAAGCACGUGGCUGCGCAUGGCCAGAAAGCUGUUUUAGCACAAUGGGGAUUAAACUGGUAACUGAAAACGUAUGUGGCUAAUGGAUGCACCACGCUCCGCGCACACCGUGUAAGGACCAGGUUGACCAUCGCAGGUGCAGAAGCCCAAAGUUGAAUUUGUCAACAAAGAAAGCAGGGAGACCAGAGUAAAGAGUGCAGGAUGAUGCAGCCACUUAACUUCAAGGCUACAUUCAUGUGGGGCAGGAGACCAAAGUCAAGAGUGCAGGAUGAUGCAGCCACUUAACUUCAAGGCUACAUUCAUGUGGGGCAGGAGACCAAAGUCAAGAGUGCAGGAUGAUGCAGCCACUUAACUUCAAGGCUACAUUCAUGUGGGGCAGGAGACCAGAGUCAGGAGUACUGAAUGUUGCAGCCACUCAACCUCAAGGCUAAAUUCACUUGGGGCAGGAGACCUGAGUCAGGAGUACUGGAUGUUGCAGCCACUUAACCUCAAGGCUAAAUUCACUUGGGGCAGGUAACAAGCAAGAUAAGACACCUGAUCUAUGAUGCAGUCAUUUAUGAAGAAAAUUAUUUAUAAAAAAAAUAAUAAAAGCUUGUACUGAUUAAAA